rnacentral:lncRNA from 1 species
CUCGAGUGCACCCAGGCUUGCAACUUUGAGGACCGUGUCUGCAGCAGCUCGGUGCUGAGCAAGGGCCCCCAGCUCCUGGUCUGUGUGGCUUGUACACGUCCCUUGCUUUGCCUGCUGCCCAUGGGCAAUUGCCUUUUGGGACUGCGCGUGCGCCUGUGAGCCGUUGUGCAUGUUUGAAACCAGGGUUUCUCCGGAGCAUGUGUAAGCUGCUGGUAGGGACCAGGACGGAGGUCAGGAGACCCCAGGACACGAGGUGGGCCAUCUCCACACGUCAGGAGCU